rnacentral:lncRNA from 1 species
GGAAGACCAUACUGUGGAGAUUAGGGAAGUCUUCGUGGAAGCUGUGAGUUAGCAGAGCCUUCCAUGUGGGGAACAUUCAGACUUGCUGAGGGUAGGUAAGGAAGUAUCUUUUGGUUGCAAUGAGAAACUUGAACACAAAUUCCAGGUUGUGCUGGUGCUGGAAUUUGGUGAACAAGGGACUGUAGUAACAAAUAUGUAAUAUAUACACACACACUGUUCAAUAAUUUUUGUUAUUAUUGGUUUACACUGUUAUGUUAAUUUCUACUGUACAGCAAAAUGACCCAGUGCACACAUACGCAUUCUUUUUUUCACAUUAUCCUCCAUAAUGUUCUAUCACACCUGAUCAGAUAUAGCAGAAUCUCAGUGCUUAACCAUUCCAAAUGCAGUACUUUGCGUCUUCUGACCCCCAAAUCCCAGUCCCUCCUACUUCCUCCCCCUCCCUUUUGGCAACCACAACAUGUAUUUUUGACUAAUGCCAGUCACUAUUCUAAGUACUUAAUGCAUGUUUAUUGUAAUCCUCAUAGUAGCUCUACAAACUGUACACUGUUAGAUCUUGAUUUAAGAUAUGAAGAAAUCAAGAUCACGCAGCUCUUUAAGUGUCAAAGGAGACUAGCUCUCCCCCUUUGGACGUAUAUGUAUAGGUGCUGAAUGGUAAUUCAAUUAAUGUAAAGAUGUGCAAGAGAGUACGGGAAGCGGGAGGAAGCCUUCCCUGUUCUAUCCAGGAGAGGAGUUACAAAGGCCACAGGUCUUCACCAAAAAUAAAACGAGGUAGCAAAGUGAGUGAGUAAGGGAAUUUUAGGCAGAACAAAUCAGCAUGUGCAAAGGUUGGCACAGACACAGGAUUUAAGGUGAAUAGGAACCAUAUCAGAGCAGCAAAUGUGAGGCUAAGUUGUGCAUGGCAAAGUGUGAGGUCAGACUGUAGAGUAUGCAAGAUCCAUCACAACAAAACCUUCCUUUGCCAAAUUGUAGAUUGCUGCCUUAAUUCUCAAGUCAAUAUGUUUUUUAAAAAGUUUAAAAUUGAGGAAGGUUCUUUCCUUUUCCAAUGAUCACUUUGGCUACAGUAAAAACUGUACCAUAAGUGAAACAGACAUCAGGAAACAAUUGGAGGCUGUUGUAGAAAUCCCUGGAUUUCUCACAGGGUUAGUGAGAGGUGGAUGAGGACAUGGAUUCUAGAGACAUUUAGGAAAUUAAAUAGGCAGGACUCAGUAAAUGACUAGGUGGGUGGGUGGAAGAAGGCAGCAAGUUGAGGAUAAGUCAUGAUUCUAAGGCAUGUAGCACUUUAUAAAGACUAGUCGGGUAAAAGAACCAUCAUCCUUGUUAGGAAAUUCCAAUAAUAAUAGUGAUAAUUGUAGCCUCUUAAUGAGUCUCACUGCCGCAGGUCUUUUAAUGCUUCAGUUCGCUUUUCAUAAUGUCUAGUUUAGCAGACUAUUUUUGAAGAUGCCACAAUGUCGUGACAGUCAAAGUCCAUUAUUUUCUUUCUUUUUUUUUUUUUUUUUUUUUUUUUUUUUGUCUUUUUGCUAUUUCUUUGGGCCGCUCCCACGGCAUAUGGAGGUUCCCAGGCUCGGAGUCGAAUCAGAGCUGCAGCCCCCGGCCUACACCAGAGCCACAGCAACCCGGGAUCCGAGCCACAUCUGCGACCUACACCACAGCUCACGGCAAUGCCAGAUCCUUAACCCACUGAGCAAGGGCAGGGAUCGAACACGCGACCUCAUGGUUCCUAGUUGGAUUCGUUAACCACUGCGCCACGACAGGAACUCCCCAUUAUUUUCUUAAAUUUUGUCCUUGGGAAGAGAGAUAGUAUGAUGAGAAGGAGGGAGAGAGAAAGGAAAGAAAGAUAGGAGAAAGGAAGGAGGAAAGAAUAAAAGAAAGGAAUCCCUAAUUACAAUCUAAAACAAGAGAUGAAACUUCUUAUGUCAGUCUGUUUUGCUGCUUGUUUAAAGUAACAGUAAAAAUAUUAUCAAUUCAUAGUUAUCAGGUCCUUACUAAUAGCCAAGAAUAUUAUUAGAUACACUUCACGAAUUAUUUAAUCCUCAUAAUAAUCCUCUAACAAUAAGUUUGUUAUGUAAUUAUCCCCAUGGUUCAUAUGUGGAAACCAAGGCUGGGAGGUUAGGAAAUUUGAUUAAGGUCAGGCACCUAAUAAGGGGUAAUUCUAGAAUUUGAACAAGGUGUUUUGGCUCCAAGACUAUGCUUCUUCUACUGUGUCAUGACCAGUGUCUUCUAUAGACACACUCAAAGGAGAAAAAUUUUAUGUGUAUCUAGGUGUGGAACUGAUUUACAGAGGAAUCAGAGAGAAAAUGCCCCCCAGUGUUCGCUUCAUAACUCAUGGCCCACCUCUCCCUAGGUAUGAGAAGUGAUUGCUUUUCACAUGUCGACUGCAUGCUCACCAGCUGUACAAAUACAAUUUCUGGAACCCUAGGAGUGACCCAAAAUAGGUUCCAUUUUUUUCAUUCUGUAAAGUAAGCAGAGUAUUAAAUGUUAACAGUUGGGCAGUAAAGUCUUGGAGUGGCAGUGCAGGAGAGCAUAACUGGAAUUCUCCAAAUGGCGCUGGACAAGAGCAACCCUAGCAAGGCAGAAGCAACUCCAUGUGGACAGUGAGCCAUUUUGAGGGAUGACUUCCUAAAUGUCUACUCUCGUUACUUUGUUUCUUAUCCCUGUCAGCAAUGCAAAACCCUGUUUUCAGCCUGGUCUUGAUACCAUCCCUUCUCUGCUUGGUCAAGGGCAGCUCCCAAUGACAAUUGUGAACACACCCUUCCCUCAGAUCAUUGACGCUNGGAGAAAGUAGAGGAACAUAUAGGCAUUGCCAACAAAUCUUUACUGAAUUUUCAUACAAAGCAAUAUAUAGAAAUAGAUAUAGAUGUUAUAGAUAGGCAAUGCCAAUAAAGUAGUUCACAUAAGAUUAUUGGGAAGGCAUUUAAAAAAACUCACAGCACUGAGCCAUAAGAAUCCACCCUUUUCAGGCUCUUCUUAUCUUUCUCCUUCAAAGCCCAACACAAAUAUUGUUUUCUCUAUGGUGGUGUGCAUGAGUGCCCUACUCCACUAUGAAAAUGCACUCAUCAGAAACUCAACUUACUCAUUUAUUAAAAUAUUUGGGGAGUUCUGAGCCUUGUGCUAUAAAGCAGGUGUAUAGAAAUGAAAAAGGCACAUUUUCAUAUCCCCAAGAAAACUUUAAUUUAGGAGGUGAGAUGCAUAAAUAAAAAAGCUAAGAGUGUGGUCAGGGGUAGGGAUGAGUAGGCAGACCACAGACGGGAUGUUUAGGGCAGUGAAACUACUUUGUAUGAUACUGUUAUAGUGGAUACAUGUCACUAUGUAUUUAUCCAAACCCAUAUAAAAGUAUGGUGCUGAGAGUGAACCUUAGCAUAAACUAUUGAUUUGGGUGAUUACGAUGUAUCAGCGUCAGUUCACUGAAGUGUAACAAUGUGUCACCCUGAUGGGGGACGUUAAUGAUAGAGAAGGGAAUGCAUGUGUGGGGAUGUUGAUAAUGAGAGUAUAUAAGAAAUCUAUACCUUCUUCUCAGUUUUGCUAUGAACCUAAACCAGCUCUUAAAAAGUGGUAUUUUAAAAUAGAAGAAAAGGUCACCAAGAUAAAUAAGUGCCCGAGACUCCAAGGUUGGUGUUAUGACAUAGGAAGAAACAGAUUGCCCUGAUGACUCAAAAGCUGACUGCUUCAUAGCACCUUGGCCAGCCCUCUGCAGACACUAAGUACAUUCUUCCCUGGAAAGAAUCCACUGAAACUGUGGUCCAGAACCCUGGAUGGGUCCUGCUUCCACAGCUGACCAGCUCUGGGACUGUGGGAGAGUCACUCAACAUUCUAAGGUUCAGUAAAGUUGGGGUCAUAACAGCAAAUUCAUAAAAUUAUUGUGACUAUUCAAAGAAACAAACAAUCUAAAAAAGUUUGCCCAACAAUUAAAAACAAAUGAACCUAAAGAAUAAUGGUAGUAAGCUGGGCUCUGGAAUUGGAUUCUUCUACUAACUGUGGGAUGGUGCUUACACACCCAUGCCUCGAAACUGAGAUAACAAUACCCACCUGAGAUAAUGUGGGAAACGCACUUACAGUUGUGUGUGGCACAAGAAGGGUAUUCACAACUGUGUGCUCUUAUUAUUGCUGGUAUAGUAAGGUCAGCUAUAGUUAUUCUUGUCUUUAUGUUUAUUUACUAAAGAAUUUAGGAGUAACUCUGUAAGGUAGUCAGCCUUUGUGUUUGGCAUCUUUCUGCUCUUUCUUCCCUUAUUUUAUUAAUUUUGUAUUAUUUCUGUAUAUCCUUUCCUCCCUGCCUCCUUUUCUUCCCUUCCUUUUUUUCCCUUCCUUCCUUUCUUCCCUUCCUCCCUCCCAGCCUCCCUUUCUCCUUUCCACAAAUAUACCGUGAUGUUCUAAUAUGUAUACAAGCCAUAUUCUAGAUCUAAGGAGGGAGAAAAUAGAUGAGCCAGAGCCCAUUCUCAAGGAAACCAAAGAAAAGAGGAACUAUAUUAUUAUCCAGUGAGAAAUUGUUUAAUAUUAGAGGAAAAUUUCCCUGCCAAGUUUCUUUAGAAUCUGAGAGAUGGCAGUGAUCACUUCUACUUAGAAGCAAAACUGCUCCCGAAGGAAGGUAGAAUUGAAAUGAAUGAUAAUAAUAAAGGUAACAACCAUAACAACUACUACUGACUCUUCUGAACACAUCUCUGUACCAGGCACUUUACAUAUAUUAUCUCAUUACAUCCCUCAAUUUCUCUCUGACUAUCUAACCCAACAGCUUCUUACCCACCAAGAGACAAUGCCUGCCACAGUCACUCUGGGCUUUGACAGGAUAAAGCAAGAAAUGCAUAUUUGAGAAGAAAAAGGGAAAGUAAGGGGUAGUUCAGUGUGGUUGUAAGCAUUGGGAAUUAUAGCCCUAAAUAGAAAAAGCUUAUGAUAUAGCAGGACACCAUAAAAUAUUUCAUCAAGAUAACCUAAAAAAAAAAAA